rnacentral:tRNA from 1 species
UGGGAUUUAGCUCAGUGGCAUAAGCACCUGCCUGGUAAGCACAAGGUCCUGAGUUCAAUCCUCAGUACCAA